CGCCAGACUCCUACGGGAGGCAGCAGUGGGGGAUAUUGCACAAUGGGGGAAACCCUGAUGCAGCGACGCCGCGUGUGGGAAGACGGUCCUCUGGAUUGUAAACCACUGUCCCCAGGGACGAAAAUGACGGUACCCAAAGAGGAAGCUCCGGCUAACUACGUGCCAGCAGCCGCGGUAAUACGUAGGGAGCGAGCGUUGUCCGGAAUUACUGGGUGUAAAGGGAGCGUAGGCGGGCGAGAAAGUUGAAUGUUAAAUCUACCGGCUUAACUGGUAGCUGCGUUCAAAACUUCUUGUCUUGAGUGAAGUAGAGGCAGGCGGAAUUCCUAGUGUAGCGGUGAAAUGCGUAGAUAUUAGGAGGAACACCAGUGGCGAAGGCGGCCUGCUGGGCUUUAACUGACGCUGAGGCUCGAAAGCGUGGGGAGCAAACAGGAUUAGAUACCCGCGUA
rnacentral:rRNA from 1 species